UUUUUCUGACAAAGUAGAAAUACAAGAUAUUUCUAAGCAAACGUGUUUUUUUUCGUACUAGUGGGGCCUAGAAGCAACCAAAUAAUGGAAGGAUUGAAUCUUGGUGACCUUGUUGGACAACCAUAUGGUUCACACAAGCAUUACAGUGUAAAUGGGAAUCCAGUAACUAUAGCAGUGGGAAAUAUCAUAUCAGAAGAAGGUUUUUCACUGUUGGU